rnacentral:rRNA from 1 species
GCACAAGCGGAGGAACAUGUGGUUUAACUCGAUGAUACGCGAGGAACCUUACCCGGGCUCGAACGGUGCAGGAAUAUGGUAGAGAUAUCAUAGCUAGCAAUAGUCUGUAUCGAGGUGCUGCAUGGUUGUCGUCAGCUCGUGCCGUGAGGUGUCGGCUUAAGUGCCAUAACGAGCGCAACCCUUGUCGUUAGUUACCAUCAAGUAAUGUUGGGGACUCUAGCGAGACUGCCACCGUAAGGUGUGAGAAGGGGGGAUGACGUCAAAUCAGCACGGCCCUUACGUCCGGGGCGACACACGUGUUACAAUGGUAGGUACAGAGGGGCGCUAUCCAGCGAUGGAGUGCGAAUCUCAAAACCUAUCUCAGUUCGGAUCGGAGUCUGCAACUCGACUCCGUGAAGUUGGAUUCGCUAGUAAUCGCGCAUCAGCCAUGGCGCGGUGAAUACGUUCCCGGGCCUU